GAUGAACGCUGGCGGUAUGCCUAACACAUGCAAGUCGAACGGGCUUUUCGGAGCUAGUGGCGGACGGGUGAGUAACGCGUGAGAAUCUGCCUUCAGGAUGGGGAUAACAGGGAGAAAUCGCUGCUAAAACCCAAUGUGCCGAAAGGUGAAAUACUUGUAGCCAGAAGAGGAGCUCGCGUCCGAUUAGUUAGUUGGGGGGGUAAGAGCCUACCAAGGCAGCGGUCGGUAGCUGGUCGGAGGGGAUGGGCAGCCACACUGGGACUGAGACACGGCCCAGACUCCUACGGGAGGCAGCAGUGGGGAAUUUUCCGCAAUGGGCGAAAGCCUGACGGAGCAAUACCGCGUGAGGGAGGAAGGCUUUUGGGUUGUAAACCUCUUUUGUUAAGGAAGAAGAAAGUGACGGUACUUAAAGAAUAAGCAUCGGCUAACUCCGUGCCAGCAGCCGCCGUAA
rnacentral:rRNA from 1 species